GUGCUCGCUUCGGCAGCACAUAUACAAAAAUUAGAAUGAUACAGAGAAGAUUAGUAUGGCCCCUGUGCAAGGGUGACACGCAAAUUCAUGAAGUGUUCCAUAUAAAA
ensembl:snRNA U6 U6 spliceosomal RNA